CAAGUACUCCCUCCGUCCAGAAUUACUUAUCAUCAAAAUGGAUGUGUCUAUAACUAAAAUACAUCUAGAUACAUCCAUUUCAAUGACAAGUAUUUCCAGACAGAGGGAGUACAAG
rnacentral:pre_miRNA from 1 species